rnacentral:rRNA from 1 species
UACGUAGGGGGCUAGCGUUGUCCGGAAUCAUUGGGCGUAAAGCGCGUGUAGGCGGUCCGGUAAGUCCGCUGUGAAAGUCGAGGGCUCAACCCUCGAAUGCCGGUGGAUACUGUCGGGCUUGAGUACGGGAGAGGCGAGUGGAAUUCCUGGUGUAGCGGUGAAAUGCGCAGAUAUCAGGAGGAACACCGAUGGCGAAGGCAGGUCUCUGGGCCAUAACUGACGCUGAGAAGCGAAAGCAUGGGGAGCGAACAGG